AUACAUCAUGCAGAACGAAAAUGUUUGACAUGCUAAUUAAAAUUCUUUGUAGCUUUCCUACGAAUAUUAAUCCCAUAAAUGACACAAAUGUAAAUUUUCCAUGCUCUAGUUGUCGGUGUUGUUCUGUGUCAUGGUAUCCAUGAGACGUGAUCGCUUGCGAAUUAAUUGUGGUAUUUUAUGUAAUUUGCUCGAAAGCUUGGAAAACGUCAGUGUAUUGUGGGUUGAAAUGGUAAACUGAUAUCACACUAAGCCAAUACGUCAAAUUGGCUUGUCAGAAAACUGUCAGUAGUCAAAGCUGUAUUUACAAGUUUCACUAACCCUCUUACGAUUCAUUUCGUACAAUCCCGGGCUCGCGAUGUUCCAGAGAACUUUUUAUAUGCUGUCGUUGGGGUUGCUCAUAUCAUUGGCUGACGCAGAGCAACCUGGUUUGAAUCUGUUUCAAGUACAAAACUUGGCAGAUGAUAUAUCCAAAAAAAUUACGAACAUGUGGCAAGAUACUUCAGGAUUUAGUCAUCUUAAAAAGGCAUACGAGGAAAGUCUUACCGAAGUGGUCCAGGGUGACGUGAAGCAGUUGCUUACUGAAAGCGCAUAUAAGAUGGAACAAUAUUUCAGCAAGAAAGUUGAUUCAUUACAGAGGAUAAAAACCAAAGCAGGAAUUGCAUACGCUGAAAGAAAGACAGACGCAAUCUUUACGGCAAAAGAUGUGAAAUAUGUAAAUAUGAUAGACCUGAACAAAUCAAGCAUACCUGUGACACUACAUUUUGAUCAGAGGUUCAAAAAAGAAGUAAAUAUAUCAUACAGUGGAAUACAGAUACCAACAAAUGUUUAUGAUCAAGGUCCUGUCGUUUUGAAAACAAUCAACUGGACGUCAGAAUUGGAUGAAGUAUUCAUUGACAAUCUCAAGAACAGAGAUGAUACGCUUAAAUGGCAAUACUUUGGAAGUCCCGAUGCUGUGUUUCGUACCUAUCCAGCAAAACGCUGGACCAAUCCUUACUACAGUGCAAGAAAAAGACCCUGGUACACCCAAGGUGCUACUUCUCCCAAAAAUAUGGUGAUUUUGAUUGACAGUAGUGGAAGCAUGGUUGGCAAGAAUUCAGUGAUAGGUCGCUUGGCAGUAUCAAAUCUUAUUGAUACGUUGUCAAACAACGAUUUCUUCAAUGUGCUUUACUUCAAUACAGCUGUUAAAUUCUUAUCAUGUAAUAAAACGUUGCUUCAGGCCACUAGGAAUAAUAGGGAGUGGUUCAAAUCAAGACUAAGGACUAGUGGUUACAAAAAUGUUGCUGAAUGGAAAACGGCAUUAAAUGAAGCAUUUGAGAUAUUAAAAACGUCGGAAGGUGCAAAAUGUCAAAAGAUGAUCAUGAUCUUCUCUGACGGAACGGAGCACAAAUAUGAAGACGUGUUCGAACGUCACAACAAACACAAGGAGAUCAGGGUUUUUACUUAUCUCCUGGGAAGCCCGAGUCCAGCAUAUUCCUCAAAUGAUUUAAUGUGGAUGGCCUGCUCUAAUAAAGGUUAUUUUUAUAAAGUUCCUACUGUUGGUUCAGUUCGAGAUCUUAUUGAGGAUUAUGUAUCUGUUCUGAGCAGACCGAUGGCCACAAACAUGACACUGAAUCCAGUUUGGACGGGAAUAUAUAGAGAUGCAUCGGGUCUAGGCAUGAUGGUGACUGCAACUCUACCUGUGUUUCAUGAAAGAACCUUUUUAGGAGUAUGUGGUACGGAUGUGACCAUCAGUCAGUUGGUUAAUUUUGUCUAUCAACCAUACAUUGGUCCUGGUGGCUACCCAUUCAUAAUCAACAACAACGGUCAUAUCAUAAAACACCCCAAUUUACGUGCUAUGUAUGGAUAUGUCAAAAGUGCCAAUGAUAUUGAUUUGAGCGAGGCAGAGUUUGUACCUGAAGAAGAAAAGGAUCACCUCUUGGCAUUGAGAAAAAAGAUGUUAUCAAUUAAAGAUGGAGAAACUGGGGAAGAGACAAUCAAUGCAUUCUCAUUCACUGAGUAUGAGCGAUACCUGCGAAUAACGCCAAUCAAAAGAACUUACAUAUUCACAAAAAUACGAAAAACACCUUUCAGCUUGGGUAUCGCUUCCUCCCAGAUUGGUUAUGAAGUUCUACAGUAUAAAUCAUAUGCUGUGGAAAAUGAAACUGACGGAAUUGUUCUUCUGAAAGACUGGAAACACUGUAAUUCCACAGUACCUCCGCUGAAAACAACAGCAAAGAACCUAAGACGCUUACUGCAGGGAAGCGAUUGCAGUGUUAAUCUCAUGCUUGACUUAAAUAUAACGGAGAACGUUUGGUCAAACUCCAACAUUUCUUCAUUUGUCAAAACAAACUGGGGACUUGUGCGUGUUUCACAAUCAAAUGGUUCGAAUGUUCUGGAAGAAAAAAUGUUUCAGAGAAUCAGCAAUCUCAACGAAAACUCUAUCAUUGUAUCAAUUCCAUAUAAUGAUGGUAAAUCAGAUGCAACAUCAGCUAACCUGUUGGUCUACAAGGGCAUCCAGAUAAAUGUUUCAAAUUUGAGUAUAAUUCCUAUUGUAACUGGUUUUCAAACAAACGAAGAGGUUUUCCUGAAAGAUCAUUUAAUGAAUAUCACUUCAAAGGAUAAGUACCAUGUUUAUCUUUUGGACGAAAAUGCUUUCAUUGUCAGCUCUAGUCUCAACAGUAGUAAGAAUGUAUGUGGUCAAUUUUUCGGAAGCCUUGACUGGGAGCUAAUGUCAGAAUUAGAAAAAGGCAGUGAACCUUUUUACACAAGUGUUGACAUCAUCUUUUACAUCAUGGGCAAAAAAUGUCCUAGCAUGCCUUCUCCAUUUCAAUAUUUACAACUUAUUCUUCGCGACGACAGCAGGAGCGACAACAGAUGCUCAAUCACAGACCAAUAGAAGUUGUGUCACAAAUAUUACGGCGUAUUAUGGCAACACAACACGAUGGAAACCUUUUAGCGGGAACACAACAUGCCUUGAUUGUGGAAAUAAUGAAGAUUUGCGGCAGUAUUUCGUCGUUCCUGUUCGUGGAACAAAUUUGGUUCUAGUU
rnacentral:misc_RNA from 1 species